CAGCCGCCGCGGGAAAACGGAGGGUGCGAGCGUUAAUCGGAAUUACUGGGCGUAAAGCGGGCGCAGACGGUUACUUAAGCAGGAUGUGAAAUCCCCGGGCUCAACCUGGGAACUGCGUUCUGAACUGGGUAACUAGAGUGUGUCAGAGGGAGGUAGAAUUCCACGUGUAGCAGUGAAAUGCGUAGAGAUGUGGAGGAAUACCGAUGGCGAAGGCAGCCUCCUGGGAUAACACUGACGUUCAUGCCCGAAAGCGUGGGUAGCAAACAGGAUUAGAUACCCCUGUAGUCCCUGUCUCUUAUAC
rnacentral:rRNA from 1 species